rnacentral:rRNA from 1 species
AUUGAACGCUGGCGGCAGGCUUAACACAUGCAAGUCGAACGAGUGGCGGACGGGUGAGUAAUGUCUGGGAAACUGCCUGAUGGAGGGGGAUAACUACUGGAAACGGUAGCUAAUACCGCAUACCAUCGGAUGUGCCCAGAUGGGAUUAGUUAGUUGGUGGGGUAACGGCGCACCAAGGCGACGAUCCCUAGCUGGUCUGAGAGGAUGACCAGCCAAACCGGAACGGAGACACGGUCCAGACUCCUACGUGAGGCAGCAGGUGGGAAGAUUGCGCAAUGGGGGCAAGCCGGAUGCAGCCAUGCCGCGUGAAUGAAGAAGGCCUUCGGGUUGUAAAGUACUUUCCGUAGUGAGGCGUUACCUGCAGAAGAAGCACCGGCUAACUCCGUGCCAGCAGCCGCGGUAAUAC